rnacentral:rRNA from 1 species
UACGUAGGGGGCGAGCGUUGUCCGAAGUUACUGGGCGUAAAGCGCGCGUAGGCGGGGGAUUAAGUGAGAGGUGAAAGGCUGGGGCUCAACCUCAUGCAGUGCCUCUCAUACUGGUUCUCUUGAGGGCGGUAGGGAGAAGUGGAAUGGCUGGUGUAGCGGUGAAAUGCGUAGAUAUCAGUCGGAACACCGAUGGCGAAGGCAGCCAUCUGGACCGACACUGACGCUGAGGCGCGAAAGCGUGGGGAGCAAACAGG